rnacentral:rRNA from 1 species
UACCAAACCCAAUCAAACUCCGAAUACCGAAUACAUGUUGUGCAGCAGUGAGGCUAUGGGAGAUAAGUUUCAUAGCCGAGAGGGAAACAACCCAGAUCAUCAGCUAAGGACCCAAAGUUGAUACUAAGUGAUAAAGGAUGUGGAAUCGCCCAGACAGCUAGGAGGUUGGGGUAGAAGCAGCCAUGCUUUAAAGAAAGCGUAAUAGCUCACUAGUCAAGGGGUUCUGCGCCGAUAAUUUCCGGGACUAAGUAUCAUACCGAAGCUAUGGGAUUCAUUCGAUUUGAAUGAAUCGGUAGACGAGCGUUCUAUUAACCUGUGAAGGUUGACCCGUGAGGGCAGCUGGAGGAGAUAGAAAUGAGUAUGCUGGAAUGAGUAGCGAUAAAGCCCGUGAAAUCCGGGCUCGCCGUAAGCCCAAGGUUUCCUGAGUAAAGUAAAUCUGCUCAGGGUUAGUCGGAACCUAAGUCGAGGCCGAAAGGCGUAGACGAUGGAUAGCAGGUCAACAUUCCUGCGCUACCUUAAUCGUUGUCCGAUGGAGGGACGGCGUCCAAAAAACUUAACGGGUGAUAGAAUACCCGUGUGCCAGACUGAGCUGGGGAGUUUAAACACUCCCGGAAAGCAAGGGAAAUGGCAGCAUCCCGAUUAUGUUGGAGAACUAGGUUGGAAGGACGUCCAAGAAAAGCUUCUAAGGCAGAUUAAGGUAACCGUACUAAAACUGACACAGGUAGGCGAGUCGAGCAGACUAAGGCGCUCGGGAGAACGGUGGUUAAGGAACUCUGCAAAAUGGCCCCGUAAGUUCGCGAUAAGGGGUGCCGAUGGAGGUGAGAGCGUCCGGCGGCCACAGAAAAUCGGCUCCUGCGACUGUUUAUCAAAAACACAGGACUCUGCCAACUCGUAAGAGGACGUAUAGAGUCUGACGCCUGCCCGGUGCCGGUAGGUUAAGGAAGACGGUUAUCCCAUUAGGGAGAAGCUGGCGACCGAAGCCCCGGUAAACGGCGGCCGUAACUAUAACGGUCCUAAGGUAGCGAAAUUCCUUGUCGGGUAAGUUCCGACCUGCACGAAUGGCGUAACGAUGGCCACACUGUCUCCACCAGAGACUCAGUGAAAUUGAAAUAGCUGUGAAGAUGCAGUUUAAACGCGGCAAGACGGAAAGACCCCGUGCACCUUUACUACAGCUUUACAUUGGACUUUGAACCUGUUUGCGCAGGAUAGGUGGGAGGCUUUGAAGCAUAUGCGCUAGCGUAUGUGGAGCCAACCUUGAGAUACCACCCUGAUAGUUUUGAAGUUCUAACCUAGGUCCGUAAUCCGGAUCAGGGACAUUGUAUGGUGGGUAGUUUGACUGGGGCGGUCUCCUCCUAAGACGUAACGGAGGAGCACAAAGGUUCCCUCAGCGCGGCCGGCCAUCGCGUCACGAGUCACAGGGCAUAAGGGAGACUAACCACGAACACAACCGUUCGAGAACGAGCGGACGCAGGGAGUAUAUCUACGGUGGACCGAAAAGUAAGGACACACGCCCACAGUCCCAACGGCGCCGACAC